rnacentral:lncRNA from 1 species
AAACAAAACAGGUAAUAUGAUAGAGGGUGUGGGAGGAGGGCAAUAUGAAUAAAGUCGUUUAGGAAAAUCCUUACUGAAGAGGUGACAUUUGAGCCCAAACCUGGAAGACAAGAAGGAGCCAGCCCACAUUUUCCAGUCUGAGAGAACAGCAGAAACACAAAGAAUGGCCUGGCGUUGUGGAGAAGAAAAGAGAAAAAGUGACUGUAAGCGAGCGUGACAAGGCUGAAGAAGGAAGCAGGGUCCCUGCAUGCAGGAAACCGGGGGCUGUGGGGGAAAGUUGAAACUGUUCUCAGGGUUUGGGGAAGACAUUAAGGGUCUUCAAGCAGAGCAGCGAUAUCUGAUUCAUGUUUUGAAAAGAUCACUCCGCUGCUGGUAGAUAAUGGAUCAUCAGGGAAGCGUCAGCGGGAAGGCUGCUGUUUGUGUUUUUGCAGGCUGGAUCCUACACGAGGGGGCCAGGCAGAGCAGCUCCUGGCCCAAACGCCCACCUUGGCCACGUGGAUGUUGACUAGCUCUCUACGCAGCCAUGGUCCACUUUGCGAACACAUUUAUGAGUUCCAUCCUCACCACAUGGGGACUGGGGAGAGCUUUAGAGAGCUACCAUCCAGCGCUGUCUCUGCCUGACCUCGCCGUACCACUGAUUGUACUCUGAUUCGUUCGCCCACCAACUGCUCCCCACUACCAAGGCUGGUAUAAGGGCCAGCUGGGUGAUGUACUCCAUACACAGCCUCCAAAGUAAAGUGGGCAAAAACUCUCAGCAUUGCCUUCAAGAGCUAUAACACACCUGCCACUGCCUGGACAGAAGUACUGAGAUGGAAGAUGCUGUCUAUUGGCUUCUCAGUCUGCACACUUCGAUGAAGCCAGCUGCCAUAUUGGAGAGACCCAUGUGACGAGGAACUGACAGUAGCCUCCAGCCCGGAAGGAGCCAAGGUCCUCAGUCCAACAGUCCAACAUGAGGAACUGUCCUGCCAAAACUAUGUGGGCUUAGAAGCCAAUCCUUCCCCCAAAUGAGCCUUCAGAUGAGACCACACACCCUUUGUUGGCAUCCCAACUGCAGCCUUGUAAGAGACCUUGAAGCAGAGGACCCAGCUAAGUUUUCUGACAGACAGAAACCAUGAGAUAAUAAAUAUGUGUUGCUUUAAGCUGC